GGACAGAUUGCAGAGAGCUCUGUGUGCUGAGAGGAGGGUGCAGACCAGAUUUUUAAAUUGAGAAUGCAACAGUGAAGGAUUUCAAGCUUGGAGUGAGAGGGGAGACUACGAGCCUGCAGUGAUAAGGCAAAGCUGAAGAUUUCAGAGCCAAGGCCACACCCUACAGUUGCCAUGGAAUGGGGUGGCACAGUGGGCUUUGGAGGCUGGGGAGCUGUGCUUUGGAAAAGCAAUGAGGAGGUAACAGGAAGUCUCUUCUCCUUCUAAAUCCUGUGUUCAUGGAGGAGGGUGGGUUUUCUCCUCUUGAGAGGGAGUUACAUACAAGUUUAAGGGAAAAGAGUCUGAAGUUUCCACCUAAAUGAUUCUGAAAGAAUCAGAUAUACAGGGAGUCCACGGAGCCUCCCCUGCAAGCAUCAGUACAGAAGUCGAUGAUAAUCUGGAUGCAAGCCCAGGAGUGUGGAGUCCACUGACUCAGAAGACCUGCAUCUAAGGAAUUGGCUGUUCUUAUCCUUAAGAAUGAUGACUGUGUUUCCAAUUCCAGUAGACCCUUUGAUGCGUUCUGAAUAAAUAUUCCUUUUGGAAUUGAACUUCUAGAGCCCUUAA
rnacentral:lncRNA from 1 species